UAAACCAUGGUGCUGUUGACUGUGUUCGCACUCGUAGCGUCGGUGUUCUGACCCUGCGACGCUUUCUGGCUGCAAAAUCACAAUUGAACACCAAUACAUAACCGUUAGAAUCACAUUUUUUUAUAAUAAAAUAUGGUCAACGUGUCUAAUUAGAAUUGGGCGUCAGAUUACGUGUCACACUGACUGUUACGAAAGUGCGUUUGGAGAAUGUGCACCGCAGCAAAUUUAUAUACGGAUUCGGGAAACAGUAGUGUGUAUGUGGUUGUGGCGUAAAGCCACUGUAAUCCGUUUUAAUAAUUUUACGAAAAGACUAUAAUGCCCCAACUUUCAAUCGUGCCUAGACAAUCUGACCAGACUGUAAUGUGGAUUGCCUAACCACGUCAUGUCAUGUCGGCGUAGAGAUGAAGUGACUUAAACAUCUCGACUUACGCAACAGACCAGUCCCACCUUGUAAAUCUCAGUUCUGACAAUAUUUUCAGAUUUUCUUCAUCGGGUCUUGUCAGAGGACAAAGCUAACCCAACGUUCAAAUCCACAGGCUUCCGUUAAUUUUUCCAACGGUCAUAAUUACUGUUAAACGUUAGGCUUCAGUGAGUCGGUAAAAAGUGAAAAAAUUACCUGGUGUUUGGGGUCGGGCAGAAGGUGAUAAGAUAAUUCGCAGAGGUACAUGUGAAGGUGCUUGUCUUGUCAUCGUAAGCGUAGCUG
rnacentral:misc_RNA from 1 species